rnacentral:rRNA from 1 species
AGCGAACGCUGGCGGCAAGCUUAACACAUGCAAGUCGAACGAUGUAGCAAUACAUAGUGGCGGACGGGUGCGUAACACGUGGGAAUCUGCCUUUAGGUAAGGAAUAACUCAGGGAAACUUGAGCUAAUACCUUAUAAUGUCUUCGAACCAAAAAUUUAUUGCCUAAAGAUGAGCCCGCGGUAGAUUAGCUAGUUGGUGGGGUAAUGGCCUACCAAGGCAACGAUCUAUAGCUGGUCUUAGAGGAUGAUCAGCCACACUGGGACUGAGACACGGCCCAGACCCCUACGGGAGGCAGCAGUGGGGAAUAUCGGGCAAUGGACGAAAGUCUGACCCAGCUAUGCCGCAUGAAUGAUGAAGGCCUUAGGGUUGUAAAGUCCUUUUGGCAGGGAACAAUUUUUGAGCGUACCUGCAGAAUAAGAGGUUGCUAACUCUGUGCCAGCCGCCGCAGUAA